CGGCGACUCCCUCAUUCCCUCCCUCCGGUGUCGGUCGGUCCGCCCGUGCGUGCGUCUGUCCGUUCGGCCUCCGUCCGGCCCGCAGCAUGGCCGGCGUCAGCUUCAGCGGCCACCGCCUGGAGCUGCUGGCGGCGUACGAGGAGGUGAUCCGGGAGGAGAGUGCAGCCGACUGGUCUCCGACUCAGCGGAAAUGAUGCCUGGCCUCCUCAUGACCCACCAACGAUCAAAGCUUACCCCUCCUCAUCCUGUUCUGCCCUGCCUGCCCCCUCUGGUGUCACUCUCCCUUUCUAGUGCCUUCUCCACCCAAAAUUGGCUGCCUAGAUCCUGACAGUUCUGAGCCACUCCUCCCUCUCCUCAGGGCUCUGUACACUUACGAAGAUGGCUCAGAUGACCUCAAGCUUGCAGCAUCAGGAG
rnacentral:lncRNA from 1 species